rnacentral:tRNA from 1 species
GGAAGAGUAUCGAAGUGGUCAUAACGGCCCUGACUCGAAAUCAGGUGACGGGCAACCGUCCGUGGGUUCGAAUCCCACCUCUUCCGCCA